GAUGAACGCUGGCGGCGUGCCUAAUACAUGCAAGUCGAGCGAACAGACGAGGAGCUUGCUCCUCUGACGUUAGCGGCGGACGGGUGAGUAACACGUGGAUAACCUACCUAUAAGACUGGGAUAACUUCGGGAAACCGGAGCUAAUACCGGAUAAUAUAUUGAACCGCAUGGUUCAAUAGUGAAAGACGGUUUUGCUGUCACUUAUAGAUGGAUCCGCGCCGCAUUAGCUAGUUGGUAAGGUAACUGCUUACCAAGGCAACGAUGCGUAGCCGACCUGAGAGGCUGAUCGGCCACACUGGAACUGGGACACGGUCCAGACUCCUACGGGAGGCAGCAGUAGGGAAUCUUCCGCAAUGGGCGAAAGCCUGACGGAGCAACGCCGCGUGAGUGAUGAAGGUCUUCGGAUCGUAAAGCUCUGUUAUUAGGGAAGAACAAAUGUGUAAGUAACUAUGCACGUAUUGACGGUACCUAAUCAGAAAGCCACGGCUAACUACGUG
rnacentral:rRNA from 1 species